rnacentral:lncRNA from 1 species
AACUGCUUGGUGGUGGGAUUAAAUACAUAAUAUUUACUAGCACCAUUGGGUCCUUUGGGCCGGGUAACGCAAAGUAGUAACCCAUUACAAGAUUGCACGACUUCAACACCCGGGCGAUCAAAUAUAAAUCAAGACAACGAAAAGGGGGAGUGCUUGGGUUUUCAACAUCAAAGGGAACAUAUAUAUCGGUAGCAAUAAGACCUGUUGGAGAUUUUGAAAGGUUAUCAUACCUUUGGGUGAAAUAUUUCUGACUCAAAAGCAAACGCCAGUGUUUGGAAACGGAUUUGAAACGAAAGAUGGAGGCAGCAGGGAGGCGGAGAAGAAUCUCGGUAAAAAGGUCAUCGUUGAAACGAGAGAUAGAGGCAUGAAGCAUCUUCUUGGUUUGGGCUCUGGGUUUCAAUAG